rnacentral:lncRNA from 10 species
CUGGAUUUGAGAUUUACAGCCCCUAUCAGGCAGCCUGAAGGAGAAAGAAAAGUAAAAUCAGAGACAAUGUAUCUCAAACGGCAGAGAAACCUUGCACUGAGGUCAGGUUUUCCCGUCUGCGUAGGCUAUGGUUACUAACCACAGAGGAUGGAAAAAUAUUCCACAAUAAAGUCUCUUAGGUAAGCCAAGUUAACUGCUUUCUCUCUCAAAUCUGACCUUCACUGGAAGGAGCCAAGGGAAAGAGAAGAGUUCUAAGAAUUCCUUCUCCUUUUUAGUCCCAGAACAAAGCCCUCAGAGCUUUAAAGCCUUUGUCUAAGCAUUUCCUAUUGACCCUUCGACACCUCUCCUCCCAGACCUGCCCGGGCCUUCUGCCCUUUCUCCCUCCAUCUUCCCCUCUUCCCCAGGCUUCCAAUCCUGCACAGGCACCCUCAGUGGCACGUGAUAUGGGCCAGACUCUUGGGCUGGAACUCUUCCCUUCGGGACGGCAUCAACACUCUCUGGGUAUGGUUAUCAACCAGCUAGGAGUCCACCUCGCUGUAUGAGCAACCCGGUGGUUCCAGUCCACGAAGAAGUUUUCACCGGUCUUUGUUGAAAUGAGAAAAAUAAUAAUAUAACACGGUAAUUUUCACGAAGCUGAGUUUAUAUCAUUGAUGAAAGCAAGAUAACUAAUUGCAUGGCAAUCCCUUUCAAAACUAGCAUCUGAUUCCUUAUGGGUUUGGGCAAACAUCAGAAACCUGUUUACCAUGGUCUCAAAAUUUCUCAACUAAUCUUGGAGAGAAGAUCAAGUAGGUACAUGGACUACCUACAAAAUAUUAUUCUUUAGCUGCCAUGCCUCUAAUAAAACAUGCCAUCCCCAAAGAAGGCCUUCAUACAGAACACCUUGAUGAAGGUCUCUGGGUCCUGGCUUAUGAUAACCGCUAAAGAAAAUCACAGAGCAACUCUGCUCCAAGCUGCUUUAACUCCUUGCAUAUUGGGCAGCCUCACACAGCCCAUUCUUUUCCUUUAUCUUCUUUAAUGGCCCAGCUACAUGGAUCUUUUCUUUCUAAAUAGUCAGAUUUCACUAAUUCUAGCAAAAGCCCUAAACAAUAAUUCAAUAAAAAGGGAUGGAAAACAGAAGUGUAAUAUACCUGAAUUGCUAUUGGUUCCUAAAACACUUCCACAAAAAGUUAUAGAACAAAGGACAAGUGAAGAUAAUGUUAUUUUGUUUGGAUAACCAUGGCUACUCCCUCUGGGAGCCAGAAAUACAUACCAUGCAUGUGCAGCCCCUUCUACUUCUCCUUCAAAAUGAAAGCGCCCAGUGAUGCACUAGUAAAGAAUGAUAUGUGAGGCUCCGAGUCUCUACCAAGGCCACACGGGCUCCUUCUAAGGAAAGUGGCCACAAACAUUUCUCUCAGCAUGAGCACCACGACUUCGACGAGACACCACCACUGGCUCUAAGGGACUAUUGGCCAUAAACAUUUCUCUCAGUAUGAGCACCACGACUUUGACGAGACGCCACCACUGGCUCUAAGGGACUACUGGCCAUAAACAUUUCUCUCAGUAUGAGCACCACGACUUUGACGAGACGCCACCACUGGCUCUAAGGGACUACUGGCCAUAAACAUUUCUCUCAGUAUGAGCACCACGACUUAGACGAGACACCACCACUGGCUCUAAGGGACUAUUGGCCAUAAACAUUUCUCUCAGUAUGAGCACCAUGACUUCGACGAGGCACCACCACUGGCUCUAAGGGACUAUGACCAGAGAUCAGCUCUGGCCCAAAGACCAUCAAGGACCUGAGAGGUGAGUCAUGAGAGCACUGCUCACCUGGAUGAUGACUGGACAACCCAAUCACAUCUUUUCUCUUAAGAAGUAUGAAGCCAAGAGAAAUAAGAAAAUGGGAGAGCUUAUAGUCUAGAGAAAUAGAAGUACAUUAUAAG